rnacentral:rRNA from 1 species
CCUACGGGUGGCAGCAGUGAGGAAUAUUGGUCAAUGGUCGGGAGCCUGAACCAGCCAAGUCGCGUGCGGGAUGAAGGUACAGAGUAUCGUAAACCUCUUUUGUCAGGGAACAAAGGCGGGGACGUGUCCCCGUCUGCGUGUACCUGAAGAAAAAGCAUCGGCUAACUCCGUGCCAGCAGCCGCGGUAAUACGGAGGAUGCGAGCGUUAUCCGGAUUUAUUGGGUUUAAAGGGUGCGCAGGCGGUCUGUUAAGUCAGCGGUCAAAGCCCGGGGCUCAACCCCGGCCCGCCGUUGAAACUGGCAGUCUCGAGUUGGAGAGAAGGAUGCGGAAUGCGCGGUGUAGCGGUGAAAUGCAUAGAUAUCGCGCAGAACUCCGAUUGCGAAGGCAGCAUGCCGGCUCCACACUGACGCUGAGGCACGAAAGCGUGGGUAUCGAACAGGAUUAGAUACCCCAGUAGUC